CUGCUUCUUCUUUAUAAAUCUUGCAGGUCAAGACAACACACUUAUCGGGGCAAUGUUGGGAUGUUUAGGCUUGGGUGGAGACAUGGACUUUUGGAAGAGAUGUUGGGACCCGUUACUGGAAUACAAGAUUUGGAACAAAAGUGGUUGACAAUGCUAGAGUCGAAAGCAAGUGUGAAAUUCACAUUGAAAAUGACAGGAGAGGGUUGCGCAUGAUCUGUAGGUUCAAUCAACCUCGCUGUUUUCGUUAGAAUCACAAUUAAAGGUCAGUUUUUCCGACAUUUUUUUUUCUUUUUGCUGCAUGUUUUUGCUGCA